rnacentral:rRNA from 1 species
CGUGCAGGCGGCCCGUUAAGUCGUGCGUGAAAGCUCCCUGGCUCAACCGGGAGAGGUCGUACGAAACUAGCGGGCUAGAGGGCAGUAGAGGAGCGUGGAAUUCCGGGUGUAGUGGUGAAAUGCGUAGAUAUCCGGAGGAACACCAGUGGCGAAGGCGGCGCUCUGGGCUGUACCUGACGCUAAGACGCGAAAGCAUGGGUAGCGAAC